AACGUAGGACGCAAGCGUUAUCCGGAAUUACUGGGCGUAAAGAGCUCGUAGGUGGUUUGUCGCGUUGUCCGUGAAAACUCACAACUCAAUUGUGGGCGUGCGGGCGAUACGGGCAGACUGGAGUACUGCAGGGGAGACUGGAAUUCCUGGUGUAGCGGUGGAAUGCGCAGAUAUCAGGAGGAACACCGGUGGCGAAGGCGGGUCUCUGGGCAGUAACUGACGCUGAGGAGCGAAAGCGUGGGGAGCGAACAGG
rnacentral:rRNA from 1 species